rnacentral:lncRNA from 1 species
GCUGGAAGGGUGAAUACCUGCUCCAUCAGCUCCUAUAACCUGACUAGUUUUGUGGAGAACCUUGGAGGGUUUGGGCUUGGAAGACACUUAGGAUGUUUCCCUGCAGUGCUGUGGACAAUUUGGUUGUGACAACUUGGCUAAGGAAAUGAGAUAAAAAAAGGAGCAGAGACUUAACCUGAAUAGUGACAAAAAGAGAACACAGGACAAAAGAAAGAAACCAAUCCAGUAAAAUAACGAACCUAAAUAUCAGAGAUGUGAUUAAGGCCAUAAAUCUAGACACCAAGCAAGCCGUGUUAUCAGCUUAAAUGAGCAAGCAACUAAUAACACUUCCUGGCCUUGGACAUUGAAGGAACUCCUUCCCUGUCUCUGGAUAGAAGUGCCUCUAUUCCUGUAUUUCCCAACUGAUUGCUCUACCUGGAUGCCUGUGAUUGUGUUCAUCAGACAAAAAGACUUAAGGGAAGCAGUUUGUACUGUAAGGCUGGUCUUUAGGGGAGUCAGCCCAAAGAGACAGGCUCAACCACCUCUGAAAGUCAGAACUUUUCUUACUCUUGCUGUCUGCUGCUAAAUACUUUGAACUUAAGAAAGCUAGCAUUAGCAUAGACAAGAAUAAAAGAAACCCUCCACUAGCCUGUGAGGCCUGA